rnacentral:rRNA from 1 species
GAUGAACGCUGGCGGUAUGCUUAACACAUGCAAGUCGAACGGACUCUUCGGAGUUAGUGUCGGAAGGGUGAGUAACGCGUGAGAAUCUGGCUUUGGGUUCGGGACAACCACUGGAAACGGUGGCUAAUACCGGAUGUGCCGAGAGGUAAAAGAGAAAGUGCCUGAAGAUGAGCUCGCGUCUGAUUAGCUAGUUGGUGAGGUAAAGCCGCACCAAGGCAGCGAUCAGUAGCUGGUCCGAGGGGAUGAGCAGCCACACGGGGACUGAGACACGGCCCAGACUACUACGGGAGGCAGCAGUGGGGAAUUUUCCGCAAUGGGCGAAAGGCUGACGGAGCAAUACCGCGUGGGGGAAGAAGGCUCUUGGGUUGUAAACCUCUUUUCUUAGGGAAGAACAAAAUGACGGUACCUAAGGAAUAAGCACCGGCUAACUACGUG